rnacentral:rRNA from 1 species
GAGAUGUGUGAUGACGCAUAUCAAUAAGCGGAGGAAAAGAAACUAACAAGGAUUCCCCUUAGUAACGGCGAGUGAAGCGGGAAGAGCUCAAAUUUGAAAUCUUCAAGGGUUCUACCUUGACGAAUUGUAGUUUAUAGAAGUGUUUUCUGUUAGUAGAGUGGCAAAAGUUCUUUGGAAUAGGACAUCAUAGAGGGUGAGAAUCCCGUAUUUGGUCAUUCCUUCUAGCUUUGUGAUACACUUUCAAAGAGUCGGAUUGUUUGGGAAUGCAGUCCAAAAUGGGUGGUAAAUUUCAUCUAAAGCUAAAUAUUGGCGAGAGACCGAUAGCGAACAAGUACCGUGAGGGAAAGAUGAAAAGAACUUUGAAAAGAGAGUUAAACAGUACGUGAAAUUGUCAAAAGGGAAGCGUUUGACACCAGUGUUGUUUUUCCGAAAAUCAAUUACGAAUGUUUUGUUUUUAGAGAAGUUAUGACUUCAUCGGCUUGCUUCUCUCUUUACGAAACUUUCUUAAUGCACUUUUCGGUUAACAAGUCAACAUCAAUUUCUUUUGUUGUAAAAGGGUAUGAGGAAGGUGGCUUUCUUUUCGGAGAAAGUGUUUAUAGCCUUGUAGCCUCUGCAAUCGGAGAGAUUGAGGUCUGCAGCGUAGAUCCUUCGGGGUUAGAUACAUUUGUGCUAAGUUAUAGCUUUUCAUAGACAACUUGUUGACUAUGUUUAGUCUUGUAGCUUACUCGCUUAUGCUAUUUUACCUACGCUUAGGAUGUUGAGUCGUAGAGCACGCAG